rnacentral:rRNA from 1 species
UGGAUAACCGUGGUAAUUCUAGAGCUAAUACAUGCUAAAAACCCCGACUUCGGGAGGGGUGUAUUUAUUAGAUAAAAAACCAAUGCCCUUCGGGGCUCCUUGGUGAAUCAUAAUAACUUAACGGAUCGCAUGGCCUUGCGCCGGCGACGGUUCAUUCAAAUUUCUGCCCUAUCAACUUUCGAUUGUAGGGUAUUGGCCUACAAUGGUAUCAACGGGUAACGGGGAAUUAGGGUUCGAUUCCGGAGAGGGAGCCUGAGAAACGGCUACCACAUCCAAGGAAGGCAGCAGGCGCGCAAAUUACCCAAUCCCGACACGGGGAGGUAGUGACAAUAAAUACUGAUACAGGGCUCUUUUGGGUCUUGUAAUUGGAAUGAGUACAAUUUAAAUCCCUUAACGAGGAACAAUUGGAGGGCAAGUCUGGUGCCAGCAGCCGCGGUAAUUCCAGCUCCAAUAGCGUAUAUUAAAGUUGUUGCAGUUAAAAAGCUCGUAGUUGAACCUUGGGUCUGGCUGGCCGGUCCGCCUCACCGCGUGCACUGGUCCGGCCGGACCUUUCCUUCUGGAGAACCGCAUGCCCUUCACUGGGUGUGCCGGGGAACCAGGACUUUUACUUUGAAAAAAUUAGAGUGUUCAAAGCAGGCCUUUGCUCGAAUACAUUAGCAUGGAAUAAUAGAAUAGGACGUGCGGUCCUAUUUUGUUGGUUUCUAGGACCGCCGUAAUGAUUAAUAGGGAUAGUCGGGGGCAUCAGUAUUCAAUUGUCAGAGGUGAAAUUCUUAGAUUUAUUGAAGACUAACUACUGCGAAAGCAUUUGCCAAGGAUGUUUUCAUUAAUCAGUGAACGAAAGUUAGGGGAUCGAAGACGAUCAGAUACCGUCGUAGUCUUAACCGUAAACUAUGCCGACUAGGGAU